AGUAACGGCGAGUGAAGCGGUAACAGCUCAAAUUUGAAAUCUGGCUCCGUCGGAGUCCGAGUUGUAAUUUGGAGAAGAUGCUUUGGGUUGUGGGUUCGGCCUAAGUUCCUUGGAACAGGACGUCAUAGAGGGUGAGAAUCCCGUAUGUGGCCGAGGCCUGCGCCCGUGUAAAGCUCUUUCGACGAGUCGAGUUGUUUGGGAAUGCAGCUCAAAAUGGGUGGUAAAUUUCAUCUAAAGCUAAAUAUGGACCAGAGACCGAUAGCGCACAAGUAGAGUGAUCGAAAGAUGAAAAGCACUUUGGAAAGAGAGUUAAACAGUACGUGAAAUUGUUGAAAGGGAAGCGCUUGCAACCAGACUUGGGCGCUGCUGAUCAUCCAGAGUUCUCUCUGGUGCACUCGACAGCGCACAGGCCAGCAUCGGUUCGGAUGGCUGGAGAAAGACCGGAGGAACGUAGCUCCCUCUCGGGGGAGUGUUAUAGCCUCUGGUGCCAUACAGCCCAGCCGGACCGAGGACCGCGCCUUCGGGCUAGGAUGCUGGCGUAAUGGUUGUAAGCGACCCGUCUUGAAACACGGACCAAGGAGUCUAACAUCUAUGCGAGUGUUUGGGCGUUAAACCCAUACGCGGAAUGAAAGUGAACGUAGGUGAGAACCCUUUGGGGUGCAUCAUCGACCGAUCCUGAUGUCUUCGGAUGGAUUUGAGUAAGAGCAUAGC
rnacentral:rRNA from 1 species